AUUGAACGCUGGCGGCAGGCCUAACACAUGCAAGUCGAACGGUAACAGGCAGCAGCUUGCUGCUUCGCUGACGAGUGGCGGACAGGUGAGUAAUGUCUGGGAAACUGCCUGAUGGAGGGGGAUCACUACUGGAAACGGUCGCCAAUACCGCCUUAUGUCGUAAUACCAAAGUGGGGGACGUUUGAGCCUCUUGCUCUCCGAUUUGGCCAGCUGGGAUUAGCUUGUUGGUGGGGUAAUGGCUCACCAAGGCGACGAUCCCUCGCUGGUCUGAGGGGAAGACCAGCCACACUGGAACUGAGACACGGUCCAGACUCCUACGGGAGGCAGCGGUGGGGAAUAUUGGACAAUGGGCGCAAGCCUGAUGCAGCAAGGCCGCGUGGAGAAGGAAGGCCUUCGGGUUGUAAAGUACUUUCAGCGGGGAGAAAGGGAGUAAAGUUAAUACCGUGACUCAUUGACGGUACCCGAAGAGAAAGCACCGGCUAACUACGUG
rnacentral:rRNA from 1 species